GACGGAGGAUGCAAGUGUUAUCCGGAAUCACUGGGCGUAAAGCGUCUGUAGGUGGUUUAAAAAGUCUGCUGUUAAAAAUUGAAGCUUAACUUCAAAGAUGCCGUGGAAACUUUCAAACUAGAGUAUGGUAGGGGUAGAGGGAAUUUCCAGUGGAGCGGUGAAAUGCGUAGAUAUUGGAAAGACCACCAAUGGCGAAGGCACUCUACUGGGCCAUUACUGACACUGAGAGACGAAAGCUAGGGGAGCAAAUGGG
rnacentral:rRNA from 1 species